rnacentral:tRNA from 1 species
GGUGGCUCAGUGGUAGAGUACUUGCCUUGCAUGCAUGAGGCCCUGGGUACGAUUCCUCAGCACCA